rnacentral:rRNA from 1 species
GACGAACGCUGGCGGCGUGCUUAACACAUGCAAGUCGAACGGUGAAGCGCCUUCCUUUUUGGUGGGUGUGGAUGAGUGGCGAACGGGUGAGUAACACGUGAGUAACCUGCCCCCUUCUUCUGGAUAACCGCAUGAAAGUGUGGCUAAUACGGGAUAUUCUGGGUCUGUCGCAUGAUGGGUCUGGGCAAGAUAUUGUUUCGGUGGGGGAUGGGCUCGCGGCCUAUCAGCUUGUUGGUGGGGUGAUGGCCUACCAAGGCGGUGACGGGUUGCCGGCCUGGGAGGUUGGACGGUCACACUGGGGCUGAGACACGGACAAGACUCCUACGGGAGGCAGCAGUGAGGAAUAGUGCACAAUGGGCGCAAGCCUGAUGCAGCGACGCCGCGGGAGGGAUGGAGACCUGCGGGUUGUGAACCUCUUUCGCCAGUGAAGCAGGCCUGCCUCGUUUGUGGGUGGGUUGACGGUAGCUGGAUAAGAAGCGCCGGCUAACUACGUG